UAUGAAGGGGGCUAGCGUUGUUCGGAAUUACUGGGCGUAAAGCGCACGUAGGCGGACUAUUAAGUCAGGGGUGAAAUCCCGGGGCUCAACCCCGGAACUGCCUUUGAUACUGGUAGUCUCGAGUCCGGAAGAGGUGAGUGGAAUUCCGAGUGUAGAGGUGAAAUUCGUAGAUAUUCGGAGGAACACCAGUGGCGAAGGCGGCUCACUGGUCCGGUACUGACGCUGAGGUGCGAAAGCGUGGGGAGCAAACAGG
rnacentral:rRNA from 1 species